GGUGGUCACACACAGGCAGCGCCGGGGAGCCCGGGUGAGGGACGGGGCGCUGCGAGGCGCCCGCGCCGGGAAGCGGGCUUGGCUCAUCCCUGCUUGGCUUUUAGGUUCUGCGGCUGAUGGAACUAUUACAGUCCUGUGGGAAGCAGAAGAAAAACCAGUUGGAUAAAGAUAUAAAAAUGUGCAAUUAUUUUUAACUAGUGGAUAAAAAACUGCAGAGAAAUAGUUCCUAUUUCACAUGGCUGUAAUUGAAUAGAUUAAACCCAAGGAUGGUUCA